UACGGAGGGUGCAAGCGUUAUCCGGAUUUACUGGGUUUAAAGGGUGCGUAGGCGGCUUCUUAAGUCAGUGGUGAAAUCCUAGUGCUUAACACUAGAACGGCCGCUGAUACUGGGAGCUUGAGUCAAGGAGAGGUAAGCAGAAUUUAUGGUGUAGCAGUGAAAUGCUUAGAUACCAUAAGGAAUACCAAUAGCGAAGGCAGCUUACUGGCCUUGUACUGACGCUGAGGCACGAAAGCGUGGGGAGCAAACAGG
rnacentral:rRNA from 1 species